GCGUUUGUAGUCCAACGGUCCGGGUUCGACUCCCGGCAAACGCA
rnacentral:tRNA from 1 species